GACGAACGCUGGCGGCGCGCUUAACACAUGCAAGUCGAGCGAGAACCUGGGCUUCGGCCCUGGGGACAGCGGCGAACGGGUGAGUAACACGUGGGUAAUCUGCCCUCGGCAUCGGGAUAGCCCGGGGAAACCCGGAUUAAUACCGAAUAGCCUCCGGAGCCUUCGGGCACCGGAGAAAAGGUAGCUCCGGCCUCUGGCCGAGGAUGAGCCCGCGGCGGAUUAGCUUGUUGGUGGGGUAACGGCCUACCAAGGCGACGAUCCGUAGCUGGUCUGAGAGGACGAUCAGCCACACUGGGACUGAGACACGGCCCAGACUCCUACGGGAGGCAGCAGUGGGGAAUCUUGCGCUAAUGCGGGAAACCGUGACGCAGCGACGCCGCGUGGGGGAAGAAGGCCUUCGGGUUGUAAACCUCUUUCAGGAGGGACGAAGCUACUCGGGUUAAUAGCCCAGAGGGUGACGGUACCUCCAGAAGAAGCCCCGGCUAACUACGUGCCAGCCGCCGCCGUAAAAC
rnacentral:rRNA from 1 species